ensembl:misc_RNA Metazoa_SRP Metazoan signal recognition particle RNA
GCCGGGCGCGGUGGCGUGUGUCUGUCAUCCCAGUUCCUGGGAGGCUGGGGCUGGCAGAGUGCUUGAGCUCAGGUCUCCUGGGGCGUGGCGGACACCUUCGUCGACCGGGUGUCCGCACUGAGCUCGGCAUCGAUAUGGUGCUCCUGGGUGAGCCCGGGAAUAGCAGGUCGCCUGAGGAGGGGCGAACCGGCCCAGGUCCGGAAACGGAGCAGGUCAGAACCCCCGUACCGCCCGGUAGGGGGUGGUCGCGCCUGUGGGUGUGUAAUACUUCAGCGUUUUGUGUUCACGCACGUUUGCAAUGCU